CCUCCAAGUGAGUUAUAUAUCAUUAUCAAAAUGAAAAGAUAUAAAAGUAAUGCUUACACUUAAAAUGAGCAUAGAGGGCUUAUUAGUGUCCUAAACUGGGUGGUGUGAAACAACAAAAAUCUAUUGCCUCUGUAGUUCUGGGGACUAGAAGUCUGAAAUCAAGGUGUUCAGAGUCACAGCACCUCUGAAACCCAUAGGGGAAGCCUUCCUUGCCUCUUCCUAGUGUGUGGCCAUCUUUGGCUUUCCUUGGCUUGUAGCUGCCAAAUCUCUGCCUCUGCCAUUAUGUGGUGCUCUCCCUGUGUCUUCAUAGUCAUCGUCUUAUAAACCAUACUGGAUUUGGACCCACCCCACCCCAUUAUGACUUCAUUGGAACUUAAUUACAUAUCUAAUAACCAUGUUUCCAAGCCUUGUGCUGGACACCAGGGUUGCAAAGAUCAAUAGACCCUAUUGUUGAUGAAUUCAGAUUUCAUAAAGGGAAGAGACAAGUAAACAAAUACUUAAAAUAUCCUGUGGAAUGUGCACUUAGAGAUUUAUUCAAGGGUGGCAAGGAGAGGAGAGUUACUACUAUUGACUAGCUUCUUCUGAAGGACAGGGACAUAUGAGAUCGGGCCUCUAGAAGCAGCAGCUUCUUUCUAGAAGGAUGGGGAAAGAGCUUGAAAUUGUUUAGGCAAAGGGAAUAGCAUAACCAAUGCCAUGGAAGUGUGAAGAAAAAUCUAGCAUGUCCAGGCAUUAUUAGCAGGCGAAGACCCACAUUUCUCCAUUAAACGUGAGAAAACUGAUUACUGAUGAAAGGCAACAAGUUGGGAAAAUUGCCACUAAUUUCUAUUUGCAAAAGGAACUUCAAGAUGAUUCUCAAACUUCAAUUUGCAUGGUGGAAUUUGAUGUGAACCUCAGGGUGGUACCACUCCCAACUCCCCUACCGUGGUUAAAACUGACCAAGUCCCAUCCACGAUCAACAGCCAAGGGGGAAUUACCAGGAAAAGACCAAUAACACCAGAGCUGGAAACGGGACCUUAGAGCUUAAGUUGAGUGCAUGGCUUGUGGAAGUCAGAAGAAAUGCGGUUACUGUCUUCUUUCAAGAUAAUCUGUCAUCCGAGAUGUCAUGGAGCUGGAUCUGACCCAUUCAUUUAAUAUUUAUUGGUGAUGUCAGCAAUACACACUUCAAGGAAAAUAAAAAAUGGGAAAUAAAAAAUGUCCCA
ensembl:lncRNA